CCGGGGAUAAGCAGACAUGGAUUUGUCAGGAUUCCUGGAGUCUGCGCCGCUCAGGAAUGACUUUGCAGCUCUGGCUUGCCCGGGGCCUUUCCACUGCCUGGAAAUGGUCCCUGGUCCCAAGGGAGAGGGCAGAAGCGGAGCCUGAUCCUGGGGCUUAUUGAGGACACGGCCAUUGAAUCUCAUUCAAGUGUGAAAGGUCACCUCAAUGGCCCAGAGAUUUUUUCAGAGAGCAAGCUGGAUCGUGUCUGCUUAGACCUAGAGCUGACAAGAGCAUUAAACUAUCUAAACCCCAAAAUGCAGAUCCUCAGAAAUCCAGACUCACCCUGAAGACACCCCGAAACUCUAGGGAGGAACAGAAGGAAACGGUGGCCUCCAAAACCUGCUCAAAUGUAAAUGCUGGCAAGAGAGAUGGAAAUGCA
ensembl:lncRNA